CUAAGUUUGAUGGCGACCGGCGCACGGGUGAGUAACACGUAUCCAACCUGCCGAUGACUCGGGGAUAGCCUUUCGAAAGAAAGAUUAAUACCCGAUGGCAUAGUUCUUCCGCAUGGUAGAACUAUUAAAGAAUUUCGGUCAUCGAUGGGGAUGCGUUCCAUUAGGUUGUUGGCGGGGUAACGGCCCACCAAGCCUUCGAUGGAUAGGGGUUCUGAGAGGAAGGUCCCCCACAUUGGAACUGAGACGCGGUCCAAACUCCUACGGGAGGCAGCAUG
rnacentral:rRNA from 1 species